rnacentral:lncRNA from 1 species
GACCCCCAUCAGUUGUAAUGCUUGUCAUUACUGAGUUAAUUCUUAGCGGUGUACAGGCUGGCUCACAAGCAAGUCAUAGAUGAAAUUUCAUCUCACUAGACAUGCAACGCAUGCUAGUGCUUUUUCCUUCUCUUGCUCUCCGUACAUUUAUACUAGGGAAGAUUAAAACUUUGGUUGGGAAAUAUUGGGAUGGAGAUCAACGAUCACAAUAUGGUUGAGAAAGGCAAAGAUUUAUUAAUUUUUACCCAUUCCACUCCCUUAACGGAUGUCAUUAGAGCAGCAUUAAGGAAGGUGAUAAUAAUUUUUUUAUUUUAAUUCAGCUAUGGUAGAAGAGUUAAGAGGGGGAUUGGGGAAUCAUAAUUGCUAUCGAGAAAUGGUUUUUCAGUAGAAAAAAAGGCAUUUUUUAAAAAAAUAUUUAGUUGCCAUAAUUACUGAAGAAUCUAUAUAUUAAUGCCUUUCUCAACCAGGUUAUAGUAAGAAGAACAUGGAUCCUUUCCAAAUCCAUCAGCUAAGACAUGUAGUAAGAGAAGAUUGUUGUACCAAUAGAUAACUCUCAGAUGUGUCUUAGAUAUGCAGGUACACCGACUCUAUCUCAUUGUAAGUGGUCAUCAAUACAUCAUCAAAAAAGCCUAACCAGAUAAAAUACUGCGGAUGAGGGUGCUCUUCAACGGCUCCACGUUGACGCCGCAGGAUGCCCCCCACUCAGAUCAGGGGCACACUUUAUAGAAUGCUGCAGACGGGUGUGCUCUUCAACGGCUCCCUGUUGACGCCGCAGGGUGCCCCCCAUUCAGAUCAGGGGCGCACUUUAUAGAAUGCUGCGGAUGGGGGUGCUCUUCAACGGCUUUCCGUUGACGCCGCAGGGCGCUCCCUACUUAGAUCAGGGGUGCACUUUAUAGAAUGCUGCGGACGGGGGUGCUCUUUAAUGGCUCCUCGUUGACGCCGCAGGGCACCCCCCACUCAGAUCAGGGGUGCACUUUAUGAAUGGAUCCUGCGAUUGUGAGGCCCUUGGGCUCUCGAUCAAUGAUGCAAGGCGUCCCGAGCCGAGAUCGAGGGACGACUUUGUCGAUAAAUCCUGCAGUCGUGAGGCCUUUUGGCUCUCGAUCGAUGCUGCAAGACGUUCAGAACCGAGCUCGAGGGAUGACUUUAUCAAUUUACCAACAUAUAUCUCACGCCGUAGAGGCAACCAGAGUGUGUCGAACCGAUUAGGGUGUUUCAGAGAUGCUUUGAAAAGAUCCCAGAGGGUGACUUUAUUAAUUGACACAUUCUGGAAAUUUUAAAAAUCCUAACCUGGAGGGGCUAGGGUCCCAUUCGGGGGUUGUAGCUUACAUUCCGGGUCUUCGGGCCUGGACUAAUGGGGGCGCAAGCCUCGUCCUUGGCCCCCCAAAGCCAAAAAGGCCACUAGUGUGUAGAAUGUGGAGAGACAAUAUUGGUAUUGCCCGCACCGGAGCGAUUGUUGUCGAGCCCGUUGAAUAGCUUCGGACUUUGUCUGUUGAGCUCCAUUCUGUCGGCUUGAUCAUUGACAAAUCUACUCAGGAGGCCUUAAAGGACAAUCACUUCAAUUUUAUCACGGAGCUGGUAACAGUCCUCCGUGUCAUGACCGUGGUCUUUAUGGAAGCAGCAGUACCUGUCCAAGCACUUUCGCGAUGCUGACGGUCGCAUUUUUGGUGGAGUUCGGAGGUAGCCACGACCCUCGAUCUCCUUGAGAAUCUCUAUCCAGAAGGACGUAAGGGGAGUAUACUCCGCAAAGCUAAGGAUGGCGUACUUACCAGACCUCUGGAGGGAUCUGCUCCUCGACUGACGGCGCUUCUUGUGGCGCUCCACAAUUUGCCCCCGGAGCAUCUGGACUUGUUGCCCCACUUUCUCGACUUUUUUGUCGAGCUCGGCGAAGGAGGGGGCUCCUACUGGCUGAAAGCUUUGAACAACCAUGGUAAGAGCUUGGACUUUCUGGACGAGCAGAUGACACUGCUCUGGCUGGACUUGAAGAGUCUGGUCCGCUAGCACGGAAGCUGCAGGGGGUGGAUUUUUAAGGGAGUAGGAUGGCACUAACGCUUGGCCACUCGAUGCGUUCGGAGCUCCGUGACUCCUUAACCUCAUGAUCGCGACUCAGGCCCUUCCUCUAGUGCCAGAAAUGUUGUGGUUCAAAUCUGGCCAAGGGUGACCACGCCGGAGGAGUUGAGGGAGCUGCCGGAGUGGAGGAGAAGACGGGAAGAGCCACCUCCUGCGACCGGCAGUGUACCUGCAUAAAGCCUCAUCGGUGUUUUCCGGUAAGGACCCUCUAACGCUCAAGUUAAUAUGGAGUGUUGCAAAUUCAGCCAGAAGAGAUCCCCUAGGCAUUACCUUUUGGGGUCUUUUAUAGCCCUGAUAGGAGCGCUGAGGUUGCGGAGGUAUGGCUCGUCCUUAUUAUGAGAGGGAGUGGCGCGCAGCCUGGCGCAUGGUGGAGUCUAUUCUGGGGAAUCGCGAGACGUUGACAGCCGUAGCAGGGCAUUGACCGUUUUCAUCAUGAGUGAGAGUAGCGCGCUGCUUGGGCUUGCUUAUGGCACGUAGUGGAGUCCGUUCUUGGAAACGGUAAGAUGCCGCCUCCGGCAAUCCUAGGCUGGUAAUCGCAGCAUGGUGUGGCGUCGUCACAAUGCACGGCCAAAGAGGAGGGCGAAUGGAUGCACAUGGGCAUGGUGGUGAGCGAGGCCUAGCUUGUCGAGGCAACAUCUAGCAUUUGGCGAAGUUGGCUGGAUGGGUGCUGAGGUCAGCCCAACAUCCUGAAUUUGGAGGUGUGCUCGGUGGAGCGCCCCAAGCCCGAGGGUCGGGGCGCAUUGCUGAAGAAGGCGCCCGAGCUUGGUCGGGCGCGUCGAUGAAUAAGACAAGCGCACCGAGCUCGGCCGGGGCGCGUUGGCAAAUAAGGAGGGCGCCCCGAGCUUGGCCGGGGCACAUCGAUGAAUGAGAAGGGUGCCCCAGCUUGACCGGAGCACAUUGUCGAAUGAGGAGGGCGCCCCGAGCUUGCUGGGGUGCGUCGUCGAAUAAGGAGGGCACAUGGAGGAACUGUUGGUGAAGACCGAGGUUGGGCUGAUUCUAGGCCGGACUGAGGAUACGUCUGAUCGGCGUUGGUAUCUGUCGGGUCGAAAUUGGGCCACUUUUUGUUGUGGGCCGGAUGAUCUAUUUUGACUAGGGAUGGCAAUCGGGUCGGGUCGGACAUAAACAGAUCGGGUCAGAUGCAAGUCGGGUCAAAAAAUCAUAAACCUGAACCCGAUCGGUUUAUUAAACAGGUCAGAACAUUACCACCUGAACCUGACCUGUUUAUUAAACGGGUAACCCGAUCCGAUCCGUUUAACCCAUUUAAGAAACAAUUAACCCGUUUAACCCAACCCGACUCGUUUAACCCAACCCGACCCGCUUAACUAUUAGACUUAAAUUAGAUACUUAGUAUAUAAGCCAUAAUUUAUGAUAAAUCCACCAAUAUUAACACGGUCGAGCAAUUUUUUUAAAAAAUAAAUUUAACCAGAAAUUUUAAAAAAAAAGAAAGAAAACACGAAGAGGAACAGAGGAACAAGGGGAAGAGAAAUAUUAAGAGAUUACAAUUUUCUUAUUGGAAAAAAUAAAAGAAAAUGGAAUCGGGAGCCCUCAAAAUCUCUGAUCUAGGAUUAUAGGCACCAUCCCCAAAUCAUUUUCUCUCCGGAAAUCAUCGACGGCUUCGAUUCGGGUGAGGGAAAAAAAUCUGGAAGCCCUAGCUUUUGCUAUGAAUCAAACCAUAAAAAGUAAAAACCAAAUCAUUUCCCUCCACCGGCAUACCUGCUGCUGGACUCCGCAGUAGUCGUUGAUUUGAGGAAAAGAUAGAGCGCGCUCCCGUCCUCCGCCGCCACCGCCUCCGGCUUCAUUUCGGCGGUCUCCCCUUCCUUAACAUGCAAUCCCUGACCUUUCGAGGAGGAAAAAGGAGGGGGCGUCGAUGUAGCCGCGGGGGGCGUCGACGGGGUGAUGUAGCCGCGAUGAUCUCGUCCCGCGUGAGAGUGGGAUCGGCUGAUCGGGGGGCGUGAUGUAGCCGCGGUCGCCAUCGAUGGGGAGACGGAACUCGGAAUUUGUCGGCAAGGGGGAGGAGAGGGCGGAGGCGGAGGAGAGGAGAGGGGAGAGGGACGCGGAGGCGGAAGAGAGCUCGGGCGGCGGCGCAGCGCUUUGGACAAACCUUAACCCAGCAACCCUAACGAAAAGUAAUGUUUAAAGUUUAAACAGGCUAAGGGCUAAGGCUACUCCACUGAAGGCGAGUUGGGCUUCUCAGCUGCUGGCCGUGGCCCAUGCGGCGGAAGGUUGGGUUGGCCCUAGUUGGCUGGGCCUUGUGGGCUGUAACCCUUAUCUUCUAUCGGCCCAACAGUUAAACGGAUUAAACGGGUUAAAUGGGUCAGACAUCUAAAAUCCGUAUCCGACCCAAUUAAUAAACAGGUUAAACGGGUCAACCAGUUUACGAUCCGAACCUGUUUAGGCCAAAUCCAAACCUAUUUAUGGCGGGUCGAAUACGGGUCGGGUUGGCGGGUCGGGUCAAAUCUUGCCACCCCUAAUUUUGACCCCCAUCAGUUGUAAUGCUUGUCAUUACUGAGUUAGUUCUUAGCGGUGUACAGGCUGGCUCACAAGAAAGUCAUAGAUGAAAUUUCAUCUCACUAGACAACGCAUGCUACUGCUUGUUCCUUCUCUUGCUCUCCGUACAUUUAUACUAGGGAAGAUUAAAACUUUGGUUGGGAAAUAUUGGGAUGGAGAUCAACGAUCACAAUAUGGUUGAGAAAGGCAAAGAUUUAAAAUUUUUACCCAUUCCACUCCCCUAACGGAUGUCAUUAGAGCAGCAUUAAGGAAGGUGAUAAUAAUUUUUUUAUUUUUAAUUCAGCUAUGGUAGAAGAGUUAAGAGGGGGAUUGGGGAAUCAUAAUUGCUAUCGAGAAAUGGUUUUUCAGUAGAAAAAAAGGCAUUU